rnacentral:lncRNA from 1 species
UUUGUUUAACACUUUUUUGGUUACUUCAUGAUUCCAUAUGUGUUAUUUCAUAGUUUUGAUGUCUUCACUAUUAUUCUACAAUGUAGAAAAUAGUAAAAAUAAAAAACCCUGAAUGAGUAGGUGUGUCCAAACUUUUGACUGGUUCUGUAUUUCAAGUGCUACUUAAAGGGGUGGCUAUAUUUAGUUGUUCAGAUAUUUUUACCCUCCUAUUUGCUCAUAUAGUCCCAUACCUUCCAUGAAGGGUCUGCCAAGUCAGUAGGUCGGUUUUCCGGUCCGCCCACGUGUUGCCUUGGUGAUGCCGUUUUUCCUAGCAGUGGAAUGUCAGGAUUGUGACCUUGGUCUGAGGAACGUGUUGCAAGAUCAGAGCCUGUGCUGUCUCACACAAGCUCAGUCGUCGAGCCCCACGUCUGGAGACAACCCCUUGGGAAAAAUACCAGAGAGCUCAAGUUUCUUAGAGAGGAAAGACAGAGAAGAAGCUUUCGGGUUAGAAAAAAUGUUGUUUUUCUCUUUCCUUCUCUCUCCAAGGCUCUCCCCCUCCUCUCCCCUACACCCAUCCAGCUUCUAAAGUAUGCAGUACAGUAUAUUGUGUCAAUAUUGGAGUCUGUUCAAAUUAAGAAAGGAAGUGUUGCAUUCUUUUCAGUGCUGUUUAUUAAAACCACAAAAACAAUCACACUGUAAAUAAUGUAAUUUAGUAGGUGAAACAUUUGUUUGACAGGGUACAAAAAUUCAUGUCACACCACAUUAACCACAGAGCUAAUGUGUUGAGUGUUCUGUCCUUUCUUGCAGACCACACGCAGAGUUAAAGAGGAGAUAAAAGAGACCCAGAGUGGUUCCGACUGGGCCCAGAGUGAAAGAAGGAACAGAAGGUCCAGUUCAUUUACCACAAGGUAUGUAGUCCACCAGUGGAUUUGCAUAGCAAUGAGUGAGGAGAGACACUUUGGAAUCAUCCCUGUUUGAAAUAUUAUAUUUUUUCACGUGGUUUUCAGACAAUGUUUCAUAUGUACAUUUUUCACAUGGGUUUUUCCCUGGUAAAUGUUUUGCCCCCCACGUGACUUAUUUUUACCUCACACUUAUUUUGCAUCACUUCCAGCUACGUCUGGUUUCCCAUCCAGGGCUGACCAGGACCACCCCUUCUUAGCUUCAAAGGCAAAUCUGCAGUGGGAUGCCUCUGUGUUAUGUUGCUGGAAUGAAUAUGUUGAAACUUGCAACUGGAAAAAAGGCAAUGAACGCAAAGGCCAGGGUAACAACCAAAGAUAGGAAAAUUGCAAGAAAGAGGGAGGCAUUUUAUUUAAUUGUGUUAUCAGAAAAAUAAAAAAAUCACUGAAAGAAACAUUUUUGCAUCCAUCUACAAUUCAUUUGUUCUCGCAUUGAACAAUUAUUUCCUUGCAAUAUUUUGUUUUGCUAUCAAUACUUUUGGGUUCAUGUUUAAAUUUCAAUAUCAUUCUUGUUUGUAGUACUAAGAAUUUUGUUCUCGACUUCAGAAGUUUUGCUUAAUAUUAAUGGCACAAAAGUAACUCACUCACUAGAGGAUUGCACCAUACAAUAACACUAUUACUAAACGUGUUUAAAGCAGCUAUCCUUAAUUGAAACAUUAACAAAGUGUCUUCUCCGCCACAGUUUCAGUAAAAAUCUAAGAGAUGGGGCUGGAGAAAUGAAACCACUCUCAAAUCUAUAAAGUGCG